rnacentral:rRNA from 1 species
AAUGGCUGCAGUAAUAUAACUGUACAAAGGUAGCAUAAUCAUUAGUUUUUUAAUUAAAAGCUUGUAUGAAAGGUUGGACGAAGUAAAAUCUGUCUCUUUUUAAUAUAAUUAGAAUUUAAUUUUUAAGUAAAAAAGCUUAAAUUUAUAUAAAAGACGAGAAGACCCUAUAGAGUUUAAUAAUUUAUUUUAAUUAAUUAAUUUAGAUUAAUUUAUUUUAUUUAUAAUAUAAUUAUUUUAUUGGGGUAAUAGAAAGAUUUAUAUAAUUCUUUUUUUUUUUUACAUUAAUAUAUGAAUUAAAUGAUCCAUUUUAUGAUUAUAAGAUUAAAUUACCUUAGGGAUAACAGCGUAAUUUUUUUAAAGAGUUCAUAUCGAUAAAAAAGUUUGCGACCUCGAUGUUGGAUUAAAGAUUAAUUUAGGUGUAGAAGUUUAAAUUUUUGGUCUGUUCGACCAUUAAAUCUUUACAUGAUCUGAGUUCAAACCGGUGUAAGCCAGGUUGGUUUCUAUCUUUAUAAAAUUUUUAUAUUUUAGUACGAAAGGACCAAAUAUUUAAUAUAUAAAUAUUUAAUUGUUUUGAAUAU